rnacentral:rRNA from 1 species
UACGUAGGGCGCAAGCGUUAUCCGGAAUUAUUGGGCGUAAAGAGCUCGUAGGCGGUUCGUCGCGCUGGCUGUGAAAUCCCGAGGCUCAACCUCGGGUCUGCAGUCGAUACGGGCGGACUGGAGUUCGGCAGGGGAGACUGGAAUUCCUGGUGUAGCGGUGAAAUGCGCAGAUAUCAGGAGGAACACCGGUGGCGAAGGCGGGUCUCUGGGCCGAUACUGACGUGAGGAGCGAAAGCGUGGGGAGCGAACAGG